rnacentral:miRNA from 1 species
UUCGGAUGUAGCUCUGCCGCUGCUC